GAUUUCAAUUGAAAACAUCAUCACCAACAAAGUUGUAUAACUCAUCAAUAUCUAUAACUUUUAUUUUGGUCAUUCCUUCAUCUGACAAAGUGGUACUAACAUUUUGUAUAAAAUCUAUAUAUUUGUCUUGUAGUUUAUAAAACCAUAUAAGAGAUAUGUAAUUUUUGUGAACAAUACUAGUAUCACUUUGUCGGGUGAAGAAAUGAUCAAAAUAAAAGUUGUAGAUAAUGAUGAGUUAUACAACUGUGUUGUUGAUGACUUUUUCAGUUGAAAUC
rnacentral:pre_miRNA from 1 species